CGAACGCUGGCGGCAGGCCUAAUACAUGCAAGUCGAACGGCUCUUCGGAGCAGUGGCGGACGGGUGAGUAACGCGUGGGAAUGUGCCCUUUGGUACGGAACAACACAGGGAAACUUGUGCUAAUACCGUAUGUGCCCUUCGGGGGAAAGAUUUAUCGCCAUUGGAGCAGCCCGCGUUGGAUUAGGUAGUUGGUGAGGUAAAGGCUCACCAAGCCUACGAUCCAUAGCUGGUCUGAGAGGAUGACCAGCCACGUUGGGACUGAGACACGGCCCAAACUCCUACGGGAGGCAGCAGUGGGGAAUCUUGCGCAAUGGGCGAAAGCCUGACGCAGCCAUGCCGCGUGGAUGAUGAAGGUCUUAGGAUUGUAAAAUCCUUUCACCGGUGAAGAUAAUGACUGUAGCCGGAGAAGAAGCCCCGGCUAACUUCGUGCCAGCCGCCGCCGUAAGAC
rnacentral:rRNA from 1 species